UACGGAGGGUGCAAGCGUUAAUCGGAAUUACUGGGCGUAAAGCGCACGUAGGUGGUUUGCUAAGUCAGCUGUGGAAUCCCCGGGCUCAACCUGGGCACUGCAGUUGAAACUGGCAAGCUAGAGUAGGGUAGAGGGGGUGUGGAAUUCCAGGUGUAGCGGUGAAAUGCGUAGAUAUCUGGAGGAACAUCAGUGGCGAAGGCGACACCCUGGACUCAUACUGACACUGAGGUGCGAAAGCGUGGGGAGCAAACAGG
rnacentral:rRNA from 1 species